GUUUGGUUCCCAGCACCCACAAGACAGCUCACAAUCGUCUGUAACUCCAGUUACAGGGGAUCCGAUGCUUCUAGCCUCUGGACUUCCUGCACACAUGUAAUAUGCAUACAUGCACUCAAGCACAGACAUACACAUAAGACAAUUUUUUUACUUUUAUAGGUGCUUAAUUUGUUAAAAAAAGUUACCUAUUGAUUCUGUGGUUUGCUUGUACAAAAGGAAAACUAAGCUUAGGUCAAUUUGGAUUCUGUGGGGUUUUUCUUCCCCGUUUCAUGUAGAGACAGUUGCUGGGAUUUGGGGUCAUCAAACAGCAACCGAGGUGGAGCUUCUGCCUCUGCAAAAAGGCUCAGCGGCUCAGAGCGCCACAUAAGCAAUGAAAGAUGGCAAAGACAUCGAACUUCAACAAACCCUGCAAGCUUCCAGACAGUUCAUGCUCCUAAUCCAAGACUGCCUCUCAUAAACACCAAUGACCAUGGGUAACCACGCUGCGCAGUCACCAAAACCGAUGGCCAUGGGUAACCAGGCUGCGCAGUCACCAAAACUGAUGACCAUGGGUAACCAUGCUGUGCAGUCACCAAAACCGAGCCAUGGGUAACCAGGCUGCGCAGUCACCAAAACUGAUGACCAUGGGUAACCAUGCUGUGCAGUCACCAGUAAAGACAACCACUUCCAGGCAGCUCCUGCAAAGCUUCCACUUCUGGCCUGAAAUGCAUUGUUUGCUUGGCGAAAUCCAGAGACAUGAGAACUUCCUACGGUAAAUGUUGAUACAAGAAACAUGUCCUAAGUGACCAGCCAUAUUUAUCAAGCAGGGACAUCGGCGUGUUGGCAGAGCAGUUUCAAAUCGAUACAGUCCUUUCACGAGCAGAAAUUCAAGCAGAUGCUCAGCUUCUUUGGGACAAUCUGCCUGCCAAAAAGGAUAUGGCACCAAAUCAAUCCACCUGAGUUGUGUCCAUUAGGCUCACCCAGCCCUGAAUGCCAAAACAAGAUACCCACCACAGACACUCAGCCCGAGAAAGGUCAAGAACAAAAGGCUUCGAUGUGCCGGUUCCAUUUUAAAGAGGAGUAUCUGAAAAUAAAAAUGGCAAGGUUACCCAAGGAGAUGCUGAGGAGAAAGAUAAGGAGCAAACAGGACAGAGACAGAAACCAAAGGUAAAGAAAAAGGAAGGACCGUGCUGGAGAGGCUCCUCGCUGUGCGCCUGUGACUCACUGUCUCCCUGCCACCAGCAGCAGCACUGUCUGAUAGACUGUCACCCCAGCCAGACACAAAGGUCAAAUACUUCACCCAAGGUCAGCCAGCUGCUUUAAUGGCAGAAUUGAAAUCCAAACUAGGUGCAACUCGCCUCCGUCUCCCCCAUGCUCUACACUGUCAAAGAAAAUUAGGAAUGUAUAGCUUGCCAACAUUUGAGGGGGCGUAUGGCUGUGAGCAUGAGUGUAAACACAGGUGUGUCACGGCAUCAAUUAGGACACCAAAGGACAACCUUGGAUGUCAGUUCUCGCCUGCUGUCUUGGCUGAAAUAGCACCGGCUGCUUGCUGCUGGCCAUCCUGGACCAUGAACUCUAUCUCUGCCCUGCUUCUCGCUGUGUUUUACCCCGUUCUGGGGAUCCAGACUCAGAUCCUCACACGUGCACCCCAAGUACACUACCCACUGAGAUGCGUGCUCAGCCCGGCUGGGGAAACGAUAACAGUGAACUGGAAGAAAACACUUCAGGUUAAGUGGGAUGGAGACAGAGCUGCAAACCAGGAAGCUGGGAGCCAAGGCUCCUCAGGCCCAUGCCUCUCUGGGUGCUAGUUAAAACUGCACCUUCUACGACCUACUCUCCAGAGUGCAAGUCUCACAGCUCCGACCGCACCAGUUGUGAGGCAGGUGCUCAGAAACCGUGGUGGCAAAGCCGGGCACAAACAAUAAGAAGAUGUGGAAGGGGCAGGGGAGAAGUUUGUGUCAUAAUGCCUCCGGAGCUCAAAUGAAGAAAAAUAAACAUGUCCCGGCCAAAUGCUCGACUCACUUCUCUGCUUUUGAAGCGUCUUUGUCUCAGGAAGGGGAAUAUUCUGGAAGAGCUGGGCAAAGGAGGAGAGAAGGAGGAGAGGUCUCAAGCACCGCUAAGUGCCA
ensembl:lncRNA